ACAGUAACCUGGCAGGGGAGACACCAUUAUCAUGAAGGUGGUUUUCCCAGGGUGAGGCUCAUCCAUUGCCCUCUGGGUGUCCUGACCCCUGCGAUUUCCCCAAAUGCGGGAAACUCGACUGCAUAAUUGUUGGAAUUUGAAUGUGAAAAUAAUCUC
rnacentral:snRNA from 1 species